GUCGAGAAGACCCGACUGCGAAUGGCGGGGAGGAUGCUCCCGGCGGCGCGGGAACCGGGUCUGACUGCCGAGCCACCGCCGCUUCCGCAGGGGCGCCGGCCCCGGGAAAGUCAAGUCAUAAAUCCCCGAAUCUAAAACUCCAUCCUCAGAGAAAAGGCCUCCAAGGACGGGCACCGUGCGCGGCAACUGCCUGCAGUUUUGAAGCCCUUUGACUAUUUCAUAACAAAGACAAGGCCGGGCCGCUUGGACCCUUAGGAAAAUCCUGGGGCUUUGCAAAAACAACAGGUUAAUCUAGUCGUGUGGGAUGAUCACCAAAACAAGACAGGAAAGAAGAACACCGUGUCAAUGCUGAAAAGCCAGCCCCUAACACAGGGCUUCUACUCCAGGGUUUCCUCGCCAGGGAACCCCAAACACACAGGACCUGGAGAAGCCGGGUAGAGCUGGCUCCUGGCCCUGCGCUUGGGUGGUCGGCUGCCUUAAGAAGAACUGCACCCCAGAGACAGGCUCGCAGCUGCCGACCUUAUCCACUCGCCCUUCCUGCUGGGAGACUGAUGCCCACGGGGGACAGCUUGGGCUAAGGAUAACGUUUGCAAAACAAACCUUUGAAAACCCACAGCAACCUGUUUCCUAGAGCACACUCUUCAUCUCUCCACCCCCAAACUAGUCCCAACUCGGAUCCUCCUUUUCCUAUCCUCUUUCUCUUGCUCUCCCCUCUCCUAUUCACUUUUCCUCUCCUUUCCUCUUGAUUACUAUAAACAAAUGCUUUCCAAGUCUUACCGCCAUCAUAUGUGUACAUAUGCAACCCUUACUGUUACCAAUUUGUUGAAGUCAAGACAGGAGGAGGCAAAGU
rnacentral:antisense_RNA from 1 species